CGGACGGGUGAGUAACGCGUGGGCAACCUACCGUAUACAGGGGGAUAACACUUAGAAAUAGGUGCUAAUACCGCAUAAGCGCACAGCAGUGCAUACUGGAGUGUGAAAGGCCGAGACGGUAUACGAUGGGCCCGCGUCUGAUUAGCCAGUUGGCAGGGUAACGGCCUACCAAAGCGACGAUCAGUAGCCGGCCUGAGAGGGCGGACGGCCACAUUGGGACUGAGACACGGCCCAGACUCCUACGGAAGGCAGCAG
rnacentral:rRNA from 1 species